UGCGUAGGAUGCAAGCGUUGUCCGGAUUUACUGGGCGUAAAGCACGCGCAGGCGGUCCAAUAAGUAUGGCGUGAAAUCUCCCUGCUCAACGGGGAGGGUGCGUUGUAGACUGUAGGACUUGAGGUCGGUAGAGGGGGGUGGAAUUGCUGGUGUAGCGGUGAAAUGCGUAGAGAUCAGCAGGAACACCCGUGGCGAAGGCGGCCCCCUGGGCCUUACCUGACGCUGAGGAGCGAAAGCGUGGGUAGCGAACAGG
rnacentral:rRNA from 1 species